rnacentral:rRNA from 1 species
GAGCCAACCCAGCGAACUGAAACAUCUUAGUAGCUGGAGGAAAGGAAAGUAAAAACGACUCCCUAAGUAGCGGCGAGCGAACGGGGAAGAGCCUAAACCGAUGGCUUAGGCCAUCGGGGUUGUGGGACAGCAAUGUGGAUCUUGGAGGUUAGUGGAAGCGUUUGAAAGGCGCGCCAUAGAGGGUGAAAGCCCCGUACGCGAAAACCAAACGGACCUAGCUGUAUCCCGAGUAGCACGGAGCACGUGAAAUUCCGUGUGAAUCCGCGAGGACCACCUCGUAAGGCUAAGUACUCCUGUGUGACCGAUAGCGAAACAGUACCGCGAGGGAAAGGUGAAAAGAACCCCGGGAGGGGAGUGAAACAGAACAUGAAACCGUGAGCUUACAAGCAAUGGGAGCCCUACUCAUAGGGUGACCGUGUGCCUGUUGAAGAAUGAGCCGGCGACUUAUAGGCACUGGCAGGUUAAGGGGGAAAUCCUGGAGCCAUAGCGAAAGCGAGUCUGAAUAGGGCGCAAGUCAGUGUUUAUAGACCCGAACCCGGGUGAUCUAACCAUGGCCAGGAUGAAGCUUGGGUGAUACCAAGUGGAGGUCCGAACCGACUGAUGUUGAAAAAUCAGCGGAUGAGCUGUGGUUAGGGGUGAAAUGCCAAUCGAACCCGGAGCUAGCUGGUUCUCCCCGAAAUACGUUGAGGCGUAGCGUCUGGUGCUCCAAUUGGGGGGUAAAGCCACCGUUUCGGUGCGGGCUGCGAGAGCGGUACCAAAUCGAGACGAACUCUGAAUACCCAAUGUGUAGCCAGGCAGUCAGACUGUGGGGGAUAAGCUCCAUGGUCGAAAGGGAAACAGCCCAGACCGCCAGCUAAGGUCCCCAAAUCAACGCUCAGUGAUAAAGGAGGUGGGAUUGCCCAGACAACCAGGAGGUUUGCCUAGAAGCAGCCAUCCUCAAAGGAGUGCGUAAUAGCUCACUGGUCGAGCGAUCCUGCGCCGAAAAUGAACGGGGCUAAGCGUUGUACCGAAGCUGCGGAUUUAACUUGUUAAAUGGUAGGGGAGCGUUCCAUGUGGGGUGAAGCGUUAGCGUAAGCGGGCGUGGACUGCAUGGAAGUGAGAAUGUCGGCUUGAGUAGCGAAAACAUGGGUGAGAAUCCCAUGCCCCGAAACCCUAAGGGUUCCUCCGGCAGGCUCGUCCGCGGAGGGUUAGUCAGGACCUAAGGCGAGGCCGAAAGGCGUAGUCGAUGGACAACAGGUCAACAUUCCUGUACCUGUCAUGUUUUGGGAAGGGGGACGGAGAAGGCUAGCCCAGCCAGAUGUUGGUUACUGGUUCAAGCGUUCGAGGUGUUGAGGGGUGGUGAAAACACCCUGAGCUGAGGCGUGAGUACGAGCUGCUACGGCAGCGAAGUGGGUGAUGUCAAGCUUCCAAGAAAAGCCCUAUACCCGUUAAGGCAUGACGGCCUGUACCCGAAACCGACACAGGUGGGGUGGUAGAGAAUACCGAGGGGCGCGAGAUAACUCUCUCUAAGGAACUCGGCAAAAUGGCCCCGUAACUUCGGGAUAAGGGGUGCCACCGCAAGGUGGUCGCAGUGAAGAGGCCCAGGCGACUGUUUACCAAAAACACAGGUCUCCGCUAAGUCGCAAGACGAUGUAUGGGGGCUGACGCCUGCCCAGUGCCGGAAGGUUAAGGAAGCUGGUCAGCGCAAGCGAAGCUAGCUUUGAACUGAAGCCCCGGUGAACGGCGGCCGUAACUAUAACGGUCCUAAGGUAGCGAAAUUCCUUGUCGGGUAAGUUCCGACCCGCACGAANNGCGUAACNAUCUGGGCGCUGUCUCGGAGAGAGGCUCGGCGAAAUAGAAUUGUCUGUGAAGAUGCGGACUACGUGCACCCGGACAGAAAGACCCUAUGAAGCUUUACUGUAGCUUGGUAUUGUGCCCGGGCUCUGAAUGCGCAGGAUAGGUGGGAGGCUUUGAUCCAUUGCUUGCGGGUAAUGGUGAGCCAACGGUGAGAUACCACUCUUUCAGAGCUAGGGUUCUAACAGUCACCCGUUAUCCGGGGACUGGACAGUAUCAGGUGGGCAGUUUGACUGGGGCGGUCGCCUCCUAAAAGGUAACGGAGGCGCGCAAAGGUUCCCUCAGGCUGGUUGGAAAUCAGCCGACGAGUGUAACGGAUAAAAGUUACUCUAGGGAUAACAGGCUGAUCUCCCCCAAGAGUUCACAUCGACGGGGAGGUUUGGCACCUCGAUGUCGGCUCAUCGCAACCUGGGGCUGAAGUCGGUCCCAAGGGUUGGGCUGUUCGCCCAUUAAAGCGGUACGCGAGCUGGGUUCAGAACGUCGUGAGACAGUUCGGUCCAUAUCCGGUGCAUGCGCAGGAACAUUGAGAGGAUUUCUCCCUAGUACGAGAGGACCGGGAGGAACGCACCUCUGGUGUACCAGUUAUCGUGCCAACGGUAAACGCUGGGUAGCCAUGUGCGGAGCGGAUAACCGCUGAAAGCAUCUAAGUGGGAAGCCCACCUCAAGAUGAGUGU